UUGUAAGUUUCCUGAGGCCUCCCCAGCCAUGUGAAACUCUGCAGUUGUCUGCAGGUAACUGAAACUGCAGACAGAGAAACUGUGGAUAAGGCGACUGCUGUAAUGCAUUCACUAUACUUCAUCUCUGAAUGUGAGCAACUCCAGAAAACUACUUGGCCAGAAAUGGGGUUCCACUAUGUUGCCCAAGCUUUGAACUCCCAGACUGAAGAGAUCCUCCUACCUUCGCCUCCCAAAAUGCUGGGAUUAAGGGCACAAGCCACUGUGCCCUGCCUCCUACAAUAUUUUGACAGACAUCAAAUAGCUGCACUCUUUCUGAACAAGCCUGAAUGUAACCUCUUAUUUUCUUCUCAACUAUGGUAGUUCAGGUCACUAUACUAAUUAAUCAGCAUUGUUACCAUUUGUGACAGACUCAACAGUAUCCAGAGUAGAGCAAAUUAUCAUUGAAAGCACUUUUGAAAAAUGGAAUUGGGAACUGGUAGUAUUUAGCAAAGAAUGACAGUAUCCAACAGAACACGGGAGCUCUCUUCAAAUAUUUAAAGGAGUGGUGUAUGGAAGAGGAAGUAGAUUCACUAUUUGUUACAGCUCUUGAAGUCAAAACAAAGAAGAAGGCAGAGAAUUGCAGGAUCUCUGCUUAUAAUAGAAAAUGUCAAUUAGUGAAAUAAGUGCUCUUAAAAUGCUAUAGUUACUCUCAACCCCUAGAACUAUGCAAAAGUGGCUGAGGUAUUAAUCAUUGAGAAGACUUUGGUAACAGUGAAAUAGGUGACCAAUAAAUUAGUACCCAGAGGCUAAAUUAUGACAUUAAAACACCCUCGGAUUUUCAUAAAAAUAAUUAUUUUGCCACCAUUUGUACCAGAUUAUGUCUGAUUGUAUUCAAAUAUUUUAUGCAAAUAUUUCAGCACAGCAUAAUUACUGAGUUUGAUUUGUAGACAUGAUUUAUAUAUUCAAAGAAGACUGUGGACAUCUCUCUUGUUGAAAGCUCUUUGGGCAAAAACUAAAGUGGCCUUAGACUCAACGUGCUCUGCAAUAUUAUCUGCAUUAAUUUUGAAUGUCACAAACAAUUAGAAGCAUUGUUAGAGAUAAAAGUAUUUAUCAUCAUGUAUGUCAAUGUAUUCUCUUAAUAAGUUAAUAGAUGGAGAUCAUCAUUCUAGAUUUACUUUUAUCUUCAUUUUGACAUCUGAGGAAUUAUGGUAAUGUUAUGUCAGAAAGUAUGAAUAAAUGCUUGGAAAGUGUCAAAAUUACACAGGUGCCAUUUUGAAAGGGGUAACUUCAGAAAAGUGCACUUGUAAUAUCCAGGAAUUCAUACGGAUAGUGAAUAGAAUGAUAGAAGACAAUGCAAAGCACUUCCUCACAGAUAGCCAAGUGAGAAACACAUAAAGAAUGAUGGAGUUGGGAAAUCUUUGUAUUGUAACCACCAUAUUGGCAUCAAGGCCAACUAGAUGACAAAAUUAAUUUGAUGAACAAGAUAUGAUAUAUACAUAGUCUGAAAUAGCCCAUUGAUUUCUUAUCAAUACCACAUGUCUUAUAAAUUGCAAAGGUAAAAUUAAUAACUUUGUACGGGGAUAUCCAAGAGACACCAUUUUAACCAAGUGAUGAAGUUUAUCAUCACCAAUAAUGAGACAGAGGCAUCAUGUGCAUCUAGACAUAAGGUACUAGAGAAAACACACCUCAUUUUGAUGGUACUCCUGCCAAAAAUAAAUAAAUUGAAUCCAGUUAUCAGGAAUCAUUAAACCAGCUCAUAUCGAAGGAUGUUCAACAAAAUAACUGGCCUGUCUUCAGAUAUAUCAGCUUCAUGAACAAACAAGAAACAGAGAAUGUUCCAGACUGAAGGAAAGUAAAGUUACCAGACAAUGUGAUGUCAUUCAUGAUUGUGAAUUGGAUACUGGACCAGAAAAAAAUAUAGCUAAAAAAGACAGUAUAGCAAUAAUGAAGAAAUUUUCAGUAUCACUGUGAAUUAGAUAGUACUGCGCCAAUGUUAUCAAUGAUACCAAUACUAUCAAUGAAUUAGAUAGUAUUGUACCAAUGUUAAAUGUCUUGAUUUUGUUAAUUGUAUCAGGUUCGUGCAGUUUUUAUCUUUGGGAAAUUCAUACCAAAAUAUUUGGUGUUAGGUGAAUAUGAUAUCUACAACUUAAUUUCAAGUAGUUCAGAAAAGUAUAUGCAUAUAUAGAUAUACAUAUAUAGAUAUAUAGAAUUGUGUGUGUUAUGUGUGUAUUUGUGUGCAUGAAAACACUUAGGGGAGAGAAGACAGAUAGAUGA
rnacentral:lncRNA from 1 species